rnacentral:rRNA from 1 species
ACGCUCGACACCUACGGAGGCAGCAGUGGGGAAUAUUGCACAAUGGAGGAAACUCUGAUGCAGCGAUGCCGCGUGAGGGAAGAAGGUUUUCGGAUUGUAAACCUCUGUCUUUGGGGACGAUAAUGACGGUACCCAAGGAGGAAGCUCCGGCUAACUACGUGCCGANAGCCGCGGUAAUCUGAGCGGGCGUGGCGAAGGC